rnacentral:rRNA from 1 species
AUACGGAGGAUCCGAGCGUUAUCCGGAUUUAUUGGGUUUAAAGGGUGCGCAGGCGGCCAUUUAAGUCAGCGGUUAAAUCGUGGGGCUCAACCCCAUCCUGCCGUUGAUACUGGGUGGCUUGAUUGCGGUCGAGGUUGGCGGAAUUCGUUGUGGAGCGGUGAAAUGCAUAGAUAUGACGAAGAACACCGAUUGCGUAGGCAGCUGACCAGACCGCAAAUGACGCUCAUGCACGAGAGUGCGGGGAUCGAACAGGAUUAGAUACCCUGGUAGUCCGCACAGUAAACGAUGAAUACUUGUUUUCGGCGAUAUAAUGUCGGAGGCAAAGCGAAAGCGAUAAGUAUUCCACCUGGGGAGUACGCCGGCAACGGUGAAACUCAAAGGAAUUGACGGGG